CUUGUUCUUCUCCAGAUGGGACCAUCUAGUUGCAGGAAAACAAGCUCAGGGAUCCCACUGAUUCUACAUUAUGGAGCUGGCCAUAAAGGAAUUCUCUGACCUACCCUUGUCUGAUAAUAGGUCAUAAGACUCCUACUGUAGAGGGUUCUUGCUUCAUACCCAGGUGGAGGGAAUGCCACUGAGAGGCCAAGAAGAAUCUGGACAUGCCUUACUGGGUUUUCUCAUCUCAGUCUGCUGGAUCACACCCUUUUUUCCAAUGAAGUUUUUAUACAGCUAUUCAUUCUUCAUUCAACCUAAGCAUAAAAAUGGAUAUUUUUUCUUGUACCUUUGGAUCUUCAUUCCAAAGGCUUCCAUGUCACAUAAAACUUUAAGUAAGUCAUUUUUGUAUGUGCUUUUCUCCUGUUAAGUUGUCUUUUGUUAUAGCAGUGUUGACUGGGACCCUUAUGAGGGGUGAAGAAAGAUAUCACACGCUUUUUACCUCUACAGCUCAGUUCUGCAAAUAUCCUGCAGCUUGCCUUGCUUUUUCCAUGAAAGUGAAGCUUUGAGAAUUAUCCCUGAUGAUACAUGUCUAUGGUACAUUGAUUUUCACUGCUCUGCAUAUUCCAUUGUGUGAUUAGAGCACAACUCAUUUAUCCAUUCUCCUGUUCCAAGUUUUUACUAAUGCAAACAAUGCUGCAAUAAAAUUCUUGUUCAUGUC
rnacentral:lncRNA from 1 species